AUUGAACGCUGGCGGCAUGCUUUACACAAGCAAGUCGAACGGUAACAGGCCGCAAGGUGCUGACGAGUGGCGAACGGGUGAGUAAUGCAUCGGAAUGUGCCCAGUCGUGGGGGAUAACGCAGCGAAAGCUGCGCUAAUACCGCAUACGAUCUAUGGAUGAAAGCGGGGGACCGUAAGGCCUCGCGCGAUUGGAGCGGCCGAUGUCAGAUUAGGUAGUUGGUGGGGUAAAGGCUCACCAAGCCAACGAUCUGUAGCUGGUCUGAGAGGACGACCGGCCAAACUGGGACUGAGACACGGCCCAGACUCCUACGGGAGGCAGCAGUGGGGAAUUUUGGACAAUGGGCGCAAGCCUGAUCCAGCAAUGCCGCGUGCAGGAAGAAGGCCUUCGGGUUGUAAACUGCUUUUGUACGGAACGAAACGGUCCGGGUUAAUACCCUGGGCUAAUGACGGUACCGUAAGAAUAAGCACCGGCUAACUACGUGCCAGCAGCCGCGGUAAAAC
rnacentral:rRNA from 1 species